CUUCCUAUCGGUUUUAACUUUUAGGAACACUCUUAGGAUCCAUCCUUCUAAUGUAGAUAUUGUUAAUGAAAUCGAGAGCACUACAUCUGAAAAAAAUCGACAUGCAUGUGACAACACAGUGCCGAGGCCAAUAUUGUUUUUUCUGCGUGAUGGCCUGAUCCCUUUUGCAAUCAUAUUGGUUAGCUAAUACCUACUUCCUCCGUUUCUAAGUGCAAGACGUUCUAGUUUUGUCUUAAGUCAAACAUCUUAAAGUUUGGUCAAAUUUAUUAAAAAUUAUCAAAUCUACAUCUUUAAAUUGUUUAUUAAAUCCGUCAUGAUAUACAUUUUUUUUACAAUAUGCAUAUUUGAUAUUAUAGAUCAAUAUCAGUAUAUAUAUUUUUCUAUAAAUCUGCUCAAACUUGAAGAAGUCUGACUUAGGACAAAGCUAAAACAUCUUACAUUUUGGAACAGUGGUAGUGCUAUUAAUGACAGAAAUUCACGUGUGCAUGCAGAGCAAGGAAACAAACCAAUUUUCUAGUCAAUUUUUCCAAACAAAUCAGACACAGAAAUGUCCACGUCUUACAAGUCUUGAAAACUUUUAGAUAAAAAGGAUUAGUUUUGCAUCUACGUAGACAAGACAAAUUUAGGUAUCACAAUUUUGUUCUUUAUUGAGGGCACAAAAUGCUUUGUUUGGUUGACUCGGUCCGAAUGUUAGUAUGCUACGGGCGCCACAGCUAAUUAAGUACGUAGUAUGUAGUGGUAUUUUGUCUUUUAUAAGAGUAGAAAUUUCCGGAUCCUUAGUUGUGUCAAGGGCCAAAAUAUUGAUCUUAGGCCUCCUUUGAUUCAAAGGAUUUUCAUAAGAAUUUUGUAGGGUUGAAAUUCUUAGGAAUUUUUCUUAUAUUGGUCGUUUGAUUCGUACGAUUGAAUUCUAUAGGAAUUUUUCCAAAGGAUUCAUUUGUACUAAAUUUCAUAGGAAAUUUUCCAUCCACUUCAAUCUCUUGGUAAAAUUCCUUUGGUGUAAUCAAACAAACUUUGGGGCAAACAAAAUCUAUAGUAUUCAAGUGGACAUGACAUAGCAAUCCUUCAUUUUUCCUUUCCAAUAUUUUUCCAAUCCUACGAAUCAAAAGAGGAGCAAUUCUUCAUUUUUCCUAUUCCAAUAUUUUUCCAAUCGUACGAAUCAAAAGAGGUCCUUAGUUCCCUUUUUGUUUGUUUCCAGAUUCUGUAGGAGUACUGAUCAGUACCCACUUUACACACUUUUUUCAAAUAUAUUUGGUGCUGAUCAUAUUUGAAUUUGGCAGAUUUGAAUUUGAAUUCAAAUUAUUUAAACCAAAAAAAACUUAAACUCUGCAUGCUACAACACUUUUACAUUUAUAUGUAGGUUUGGUGCGAAAAGGCACCUUUUCUCUACAUCAUGCUGCAUCAGGGACGAAAAGAGAAGAAGAAGAAGAAAAGAGAACAAAACGUAACUAAGCAAAAAGUAGAGAAGAACACUUUAGAAGCUGUACUUAGAUGCAAAAGGAUGCAAAAAGAAGAGGAUCUGCUUAUGUGUCAAGAAGAAUUAGGAAGGGGUAAAGUGCAUAAGCUAAAGUUGAUGUUAAUUGUUCAUGUAUCCAUUAGAGAGGGCCAAGGAAAAAGGCAUUAAGGAAAGGCAGCCCCUCUCUCUCGAGGCAUCCACAGCCAGCACUCACUUUCUCUCCAAGCCAGCCCAGGGAUGGGUUGGUGAGAUCUGAAGCUCGAAGACACCUUUUCAUGGCUUCCUCUCUUCUUCUCUUCCUCGGUUCAUAGUGUUCUAAGCCACAGGUCUUUCCCAUAUUCCAUUCCUUUGCUGAAUUUGCUGCUAUAUCCCUCUGUAACAGAAUCUCUGCCCUGUCUUUAGUCUGAACCUUGCUAAUUCUUGCUGUUCUUGGCUGUAAACUCUUGAUCCUGCGUGUAAAACUCUUGUUCCUGUUUAGUAAUCUGUUCUAGUGUUUAUUUGUGACGUGCUUGCUGUGUUAGAUCAUUUUUCCCUGUCUUUAAAAUUCAGGCCUGUUGCAGUUCAGUGUUGUUUUUCUUGUUCAUGUCAUGUUUUGCUGUAAUUUGUUCAUGAAUUGUGCCCGUGCUCGUUGUUGUGUUAGAUCCAUGUUACUAUGAUGUUAGUAGAUGCUUAUGUGUUGUUUUUACUCAAUAGAACAUCCCACUGAACUUGCUAUUCUCAAUUUCUUGCUCAAAUCUGUUCCUGUCUUUAAUUCUGCACCUCCUAACCCUGAAUUCCUGCUGUUCUAAACCUUGAUAUACUAUGAUCUAAUCCCUGUCUAAAAACUUGCUUCUAAACCUUGCCUAAAUCUAAUUCUUGUUGUUCUUCACUGUCUAAACCCCUAAAUCUUGCUUAAACUUGCUGUCUAAAUCUUUGAACCUUAUCCACUUCUGAUUCUGAACUUCUUGCACCUUUAACUUUCUACCUGUCUUGAUCUUUAUCUAUCUCCUGCUCUAAAUCAUUUCCUUGUCUAUUGCUUGCUGAAUCUUCUUCCCUGAACCUUAAUCUUGCUAUUCUUCCUUGUCUUAAUCUCUGCAUCUUCCUAGAUUCUUCCCUGUCUUAAUUUCUUUAGUGUUAAGUUUUAUCUGUCAGUGUUAAAAUUCAGUUUCGUCAGUGUUGUUUCUCGACAACAAUUAGAGUAAGGGGUGCCAAAGCUCGAUGGCACAAGUGCGAGUAUAAAAGUAGGGCGUGUACGCCGGCCUUAUAGCGAAGGUCGCCGUACACUUGGACAAGUUGACACGUCGAUAUUUUUUGAACAGGUUCGGUCGACCCUGCGGGUGCGACCUAGUCCUAUGUUAGGAGAGGCUUGGAGGGGAUCGUUAGCCAAAGCGUUUUGGGUCGAUCGAGGCUCCCCGAAUCACUUAGCGAGAGGUCGAAAAGGGCCGCCUCAUACUUGGGCCGAACGAGGCUUCCCAAGUAGCGAGGUCGAGACACCCUUAGGACUCUAACCCGAUUCUCUCUCCUUCGGGCUCGGGCCGAACGAGGAUUCCCGAAACCCAAAACUAGAGCUCCUCUCAAAGAGACUCUCUAGCCCUCUCCCCUUGAGUUUAUUCAAGUGAGAGUGAAUGGUACACGCCCCCAUGGGGGGUAUUUAUAGCCUAAGGGUACAUGACAAAAGACCAUGACUACCCUUGGGGGAGAGAGAAAAGUGGGGGCAAAAUGGUAAAACUAGCUUCUUGGUUCAUAACUUUUGUGUGCACCAAGUGGGAGAAGUGGGGCUUGGUUCAUGGUCCACCAUGGACGAAGAGCCCUCUCCUUGCACCUUUCUUGCCCCCUACUCAAGCUCAAUUUUCCCUUUGACCAUGGCAUGGGAGGCUUGACUUGUUGAUUUGUCUUCCCUUGCGACGUAGGAUUGACCACGCCACGUUGGCGUCUUGACUUGUGCUGAAAAAAUUGACCUAGUCGUCGCCACGUAGAUUUACGGUCCGGCCCAAAUAAGGGUUUUAUUUUACUACAACAGUCAGAAAGUCUGUUUUCAGGUUGUGAACAGUAAACAGAAAACAACCAAAAACAUAGUUCUUAGCCUGUUUUAAAUUGUUUGUUUUGGUUCUCAAACACCCCAUUUGGUUGUUUAGCUAAAGAUUGAGGAUUAGAAACUAUUGCACAUUAAUCCCUGUGGAGAAUCUCAUUUUUAUUAAUGCUAUUCGCUACAAGUGUUGAUCAAGUACUAUGUACGGUAGAAUUUGCUGGUUGACAUGAUGGGUUGCUACGUGGUAGUGCGCAUACCUUCACUUGUUUUGACGUGGCUAUUGCUAACAGUGUAUCGACAUAUUCACGUGGGUACUGGGAAUGCAAGCUCCGGCCCUAUUGAUCAAUCGUGUCAAGAGUAAAUGCUCUUGUGUGUCUGGCGUAUUUGCGCGGCCUGGCCAUGACAAUGGAACGGUGUUCUUCCCUUGACAAAAGCACAGCGCCAACCGAGCGUGGCCCUGACCUCGCCAUAAACCUCCUACGCCAGCCAAAAAUGAUAAAUAAUGCUAAAGAAAGAGCCAUGCCCAUAACACAUUUAGUUGCAAAACAGAAAGGGACAAAAAUUAUCAAAAAUAAGUUACAAUGGCACAGGUUCUCGCAUCUUUCCCUCCCAACACGUCCUUGAGGCGAAGCCUUGUAGACCAAAAUCGAUGGUCUGGACCGAGCUUUUUACUCGAUUGACUAACGUGAACCUAGUCUUAGGGCGAGACGAGUUUCUUUGGAAUCUUUCUAUCCUGGUGGAUUAUUUUUGGUCAAUUCAAUGUACCAGACGUUGGUACAUUUUGAAAAUUGUGGAGACUAAAGAUUCCUCUAAAGGUUAAAAGUGUUUUUUGGUUCCUGCGGCAGCGGGUCACAUUAACUAAACACAACUUGUUAAAACAGAAUUGGAAUGGAAGCUCAAAGUGUUGUUUCUGUCAUGAAGAUGAGGCUAUAACACACCUUCUUUUUUCCGGUAUCGCGUCUCUCGUUCUGUAUGGUUGAUAGUCCAAAUAGCUUCUAAUUUUUUUUUCCUGGACAUGUUCCUCAGAUGUUUGGGUCAUGGCUACGUGGGGUUAAAUGGUGAAUAAAAGGUUAGGAGCGCUUCUUAUGAUUGGAGCGGCUGCUUUAUGUUGGGCAAUUUGGCUAUGCAGAUAUUGUUUUUAAUAGAAAAAACUUAACUUCUCCACUGAAGAUCUUGUAUUCUUGCACUCAUUGGCUCUGUACUUGGUCUAUCUUUGUCAAGCAGGUGGAUCGUCAGUUGACUUUGAGGGAGUGCACCAAGUUGGAACAAGUGGUCAGGGAUUUUUUUUUUACCCACAAUGAGUGGCGGUCUAAUCUGCGGAUUGAGUCUACUUAGAGUUAUUUUUUUCUAUCUAUGUAAUAAUUUUUUUUCUUGUACUUUUUUGGUUGUGUGCAUGUUCGGAGCAGAGGCCGGGGGUGUGAUACUCUUUGUGUAUCGAUUGAUAUGCCAUUGAGAUCAAUAAAACUUCCAUUAUCGAAAAAAACUACAAUGGUGCAAAUCUCCUUGUAAAAAAAAGAAAAAAAAAGAGAAGGCACCAUACAGAGAAGCCCUACCAUCGUAUAUAUUUUUGCGAAGAACCAUCCGCAGCUACAGAAUCCGUUACUCUUGGAAACUCCACACUGAUGCAAAACUAAAAAGCGUCAGCGCAGAUAUUUGUCUCAGACGCUCCUUAAAAGAAGUGUCACAGGUAGCAUCCAGAGGCCGCGGCAACCAGAUAUUUCCUUGUGCCGUGACGACACAAGGAAGCGUCAGAGAACUUCUACAGUUCUGACGCUUCCCUGCUUCGUAAGUGUCAGAGGGGAUCUACUCUAGCUGUUGUAACUCUCUCCUUUGUGGGAGCAUUAACUUUGUUCACGAAGAAUUCUCUGACUCGUCCUUGUGUCGUCACGGCAGUAUACUUUUGACGGUCACUGACCUCUUGUCCUAGCACACGUCAGAGAUUUGUUGUAACUUGCUUUUUUUUUACAUGCACAACGUAGUUGCUAAUUAAUUCAAAUUAAAGCAACGCUACAGGCAAGAAAAAACAAAAAUCAAAACAGCAGCUAAUACCGCUGCAAUGCUAACACAAGCCACACAAAAGCCGGUCUGGUCUUGUAGCUAAACUUUAAGAUUUUCGGUCAGUUUCUUCGCUUCUUGUAUCUCUGUUUUGAGAUCUUCUAUCACCCCAUCCUAGGUAGCAAGAUCGGACUCUAGUUUGAGCUUCUCAACGGACAAUCUGUUCUUCACCUUUUUUUUCUUCCUCUAUCAUGGCUUGCAGCUUCGACACCUGAGUUACCUCCACCAUCCUACCUUCCUCCAUGCACAUGAGGUACUCACGGAGGAGGUGCAGGAAACAGAGUCCCUAAGCCACGACAUCAUUGAUUCCGCACCAUUGUUGGUGUAUCCACUACAACCCAUGAAGGAAGUAUUCAAGGAAGAGAUUUCACGAGAGUUUUUUUUCCUUUUCAGUCGCUCUGGCAAUUUUAUUUCCAUAAGUAGAGGACUGGGGAUAUAUAUAGGUUGGUAGACCGCUGACGCACUUUCAUCCGACAAGAGUCAGCGGUGUAAGCUUUUGAUGCUCAAUAACCUUCUGACGCUUGUAGUAGCAAUAAAUGUCAAAGAACUACUCGAAGGAUAAGAUUCACGGGUUUACGGCAUCUAACGCUUAGCACAGAACAAGCGUCAGAAAUAUAUGUGGUCACAGGAGGUCUGUGAGACGUCCUAGAUCCGCAGCGUUAGAGAUCAGUUAGGAAUCUAUAUAAGUUCACGGGCGCAGGUAAAAAAGGUAGCGUAUGUGUUCAUGCUUCAGAGCGAGCUCAGUAUAGAUGCAUGCAUAAUCAUGGUGAUGCAUCAGGAAGACGCAGGUGCUCCUCUUUAUCCGGUCCGUCACCUCCCCUUUCGGUCCAUGGACCACCUCACCUCGGCUAUAGAAGCAGCCGAAUGCAGUGCAAGUCGGCCUUCGCAAGAUAAUAGCUGCGUACUGUCGUCUCAAUGGGUGGGAGAUCCUGGAGCGACCUCGUUCGUCCACUCCGCCGGCGUUGGCUGAGCCAGCGCUUCCGAGGGGUCUUCAUGCAAGCUCACCGCCUCCGCCUCAGCCUCAGCCUCAGCUGCCUGCACCUUAGCUGCCUCAGGCGCCCCAGCCUCAACCUCAGCCGAGGCUUCCGCUGUUCACCGUCGACGAGUCUCCAGCGGUGAAACGGCGUCGAGAGAUGUCCACGAGGUACCCCGGUGAUCGUGGUUAUCUUCCUCAAAUCCCCUCCUUGUUCUUCUUCAUUGCCGCAACUACCUCCACCGCCAUAAGCACCUUCCUCUUUCCUCCUCCCCAAAACAUCGGCUGCUCUUGUUGUCCCUGGCCGCGCACCUCGCCUUCUUGGGCAUGGCGCUGCGCUGCUCAUGGAUGAUGUUGCCGACAUAUCAAGGCGGUGUUUAAUCUUGUCGACAACGCUCUGGUGUGUGUAUCUUGUUUGAAAUGUAGCAGAUCUUGUACGCAAUGCAAUGUAAUGUGGUCGAUCUUAUAUGAAAUGCAACAGAUCUUGUCUGCAAUGCAAUGUAAUGUGGUCGAUCAUGUAUGAAAUGUAGCAGAUCUUGUAUGAAAUGUAGCAAAAUUUGCAUGCAAUGAACGAAAUUCAGAUUGGCUCAAUGUUUCCCUGCAAUUAAAAUUAGAAUUAUAAUGUAUGACGCUGACGUUGACAGAAAAACACGUCAGUAGUAACUUUUUUUUCUUUGGUAAGAACCAUCACGGACGCUUCUUGUUCAACGAGGCGUCAAAGAUGAUCAGCUCUGACGCUUCUUACGGGCCAAAAAGAGUCAGCAAAAAUACCCCGAUAUGACUCAGGAUCGGAAAAGACUAAUCCUGACACGUGUCCCGGAAUAUGCGUCAAAAUGCUUUUCCAUCUGCGACGCUUUUCGACGCGUCAGAAGUUUCUGAGUCAUCUCUAACACUUGAUUAAUGACGCGUUCAAUUUGUGUCAGCAUAGAGGGUUUUCGGAGCGUCAGAAAUAAGUGAUUCUUAGUAGUGAUCGUAUACGCCCUCAAAUCUAUAACCUGGAGUGAAUAAAGUACCCACUGCUCAGUGAAGAGGAAUUUGUUGAGGUUCUUUUUGUUUACCAAGCUAGGGUGGCAAUUAACAAGUAGCUAUGCUUGAAUAAACUGGAAUAUCUUCAGAUCGUGGUGAGCUAUCGUACUGAUCUAAAAAAGGAGUAUAGUACACAAAUUGCAUUAGUAUAUGCAUGGCACUAUAAAAUGGGAUCCAGCAGCUGGUGCAACGCCAAAUCAAUAAAGAUGGUGUCAAGUCAAGUCGCCUAUUAGAGUAAUCCAUCCAACAUCAACUCCUUUCUUAAAUUUGUUUUACCAGAUUGAUUGGUUAGAAUUAAAUUGGACUGGCGUACAAAUAUGACGUCCAAUAUCGUGAUGAUCGACUCUUCAUGGAUGUUACCCCCUUCAUUCCUUUUUAUAAAAUGCCUUAGUUUUUGUCUUCUUCCUUUUUCAAAAAAGGGUAACUCUCGUUCUCUGCGUUGAUGCACAUAACGAAAAAUUACUAAAAUCCAAGCAACGCCAGGUAUUGAAGCCGAACAAGUCGGAAAAAAAAAACCCGAGGCCGUAUGCCUCGGACUAAUUAACCGUAUGGUAAAAUCCUGAAACAAAUGAAGAGUACACCACUCAUAAGUAAAGCAUUCAAGAAGGCUCAUCACGCGUGCUCCGAUGAUGAUGAGUCCAACGAAGUGUUCCGAUGAUGAUGAGUCCAACGAAAGGUCAAUCUCAGAAUUUUAAUCCCCGAAUUCGAGCUUCGAACCACCACCUUCAUCAAGUGCACGAUGCAUAUGGCGUCGACAUUGCUGAUCAGAUCGAUCAUAUGUUUUCACCAGAGUGCACAUACCCAUCAUGAAGUCACCUCUACCACCAACACUUGACCAGUUAACGACACCUCACUAGCCGGAUACCACUCGAGAGAUACUAGAAGCCGGGACGCCCCAUACCGCCUCACUUUUAGCCAUUGUCGCACCACCUUCGUCUAGCAGCAAAAGACAUGACUUGACGCCUCCUAGGAGACACUAUGCAUAGCACCUGCUGGCAACAUGCAUAACUUGGCGCCUCUGCAUUAGACGCUAUGUGUAGAACCCGUUGGAGAUAGGCAUGAUUUGACUCCUUCGCAAGAAACGCCGUGCGUAACACUUGAUGAGCCGGCUCGAACCCAAUCUGGAGGUGGACGGCAUGAUCGACGAGGUGGAGCCAGAUUCGACUAACAAGGACGCGGAGAAAGGCCUUGCUGUCGCCCUUCCUCGGAGGUCACACAGCUUCCCUGCUGCCUCCUCAGGCGGCAGCAAGGGUGGGAGCAGAGGAGGGUUUGGACAGGUGAGGUAGUCGGGGUCAGAGCAAAGUUUGAAGGUUGCGAUUUUGAUCCAGAGGGAGAAGAUACAGCCCACCUAGAUUUUCCUACAAAUUUGGUCAAAAUUAUAUACUAUAUGCAUACGGUCCACACAUGGACGGUUUAAUAAGUGGUGUGUGAUUGGCAUUAUCACAACCUUUUACACAUGUACAUACGAGUUUUCCGAAGCCUAGAUCUGAUAAGUUGUUUAUUACAUAAGGUUUUAAUGUAAUAAUCUUGUAAUCAAAUCAAUUGGUGCACCUAACCAAUUGACCCCAAAGUUCUAAUUGUUUAGGAAGAGUAUAUUUAAACAUUUGAGAUGUCUAAUAUUACAAUAUAUUGUGAAGAACAAAAUGUCAUCUCUAUAAAAUUAUUAAUUAGCACCCGAUAUAACUUUAAGUUCAGUGAAACCCUACAUGCAAAUCAUGGAGAGAGAUAAUAGAUAUGCAUGAGAAUAAAAGAGAUUUUUUUAGGGAGAACAAAAGAGUUUGUAUGUAACGGAGACAAAACGUAAAUUAAAUAUAACUAAUUAAGCAAACCUACACAGGUUCAAUAGAACUACAAGUUUAAGCAUGCUAGGCAAAGACUUAUAAUUUAAUUAUGUGUCUGCAUAUUUAGGCGAGUACGUGUAGAACUACGGAUUUUUUAGAGAGAAAAACAGUAGAUCAGUUAUUCUACUGUAAAUUUUAUUGCAAAAAUAUGAACAUCAAUAUAUUACAAGGCUUAUCUAAAGGUUUUAACACUACUACAAAAAGACUCAUUAGUGACGGUCGAAAAAGUGUAUCAGUAACGGGCGGACCGCCCGUCACUAACUUCCUGUCACUGGUGUGCUUAACAUCAGUAACGGCCGGUCCACACGUUACUGAUGAGGUCCCUCAUCAGUAACGGUCAAGCUACACGCCCGACACUGAUAUGGAUUAGAAGGAAAAAAACCGAGACCGCCCCGAAUCCACACAGUAGCCCGUUGAAUGUUAACAAAUCAAAAAAAUAAUAUCACCGGCUUCUCAAGGACACGGUGCUGCCGCCCGCCGCCGCCGGUGCUCUAGGCCCCACGUGCUAAUGCUCCUCCGCAUGCCGGUGGAAGAGGGUCACCGGAUCUGGUGCCGACGGGGAGAGAGCGAGCCGCUACGAGAGAUCGAGAGAGUGAGAAAUAAGAGGAAUAGAGAACUGAGAGUGUCGCACCGGUGGCACCCGGGGUACCACCGCUGCAUGACGCGUGGGCCGCCUCGCUUGCUUCCCCGGAGGACCGCACCCCAGGCAGCACAGCACAAGCUGCCCGGCAAGUCGCCAACCCCGAAGGACUAGCGGGGCUGCAGGGAUUGCCCUGGAGGGUAGCAAGGGAAUUCCCGCCUGGGCGCUUCCCGGGAGGCUCCUUGCCGAGAAGGGGGUUCCUGGGCGCAGGCGCCCGUUACAGGAGCGGGACCGAGCGGGCAAGACAGCGGCGCCACGUGACUGCUCGACGGGCGCCCUGUGCGCGGGGUUCGUCAGGAUGAAGAGUGAAGCACACGCGAGCAUUGAAUGCACCGACAGAAAGGGCAUUCCCCGUCCAGUUAGCCUAUAGUGACUGGCCGAGUGUAAUUUUUAGGCACCUAGGCCCCUAGUUGCAGGGCUACUCUUUGUGCAUGUGAGCCAGCACACCGAGGGGGAGCUGCACUAGCUCCUUGCUCGCCAUUUGUCAUCCAUGCAUCGUGGCACCUGUGGUAUCCCCUUCGGUAUAAAAGGAGGACCCCCGCCAACGGUCAAAGGGUUCGGACCCAUACUAGCUCUAGCCGAGAAUAGCAAGUAGCAAUUAGCUAAAAAAGAGAGAGCACCCGGGGACUCCUCCCGGCAACUUGUAAACCCUUGUUCGCUGGUUAAUAACAAACUCAAAAGCAGGACGUAGGGUUUUACACCUCAGGGUGGCCCGAACCUGGGUAAAAAGUGCUCUUGUGUUCAUUGCGCCUCUACGCUUUGCAUUGGCCUCGCCGGCGAUCGCCGGAGCGAUCCCCGUCGCCCACUGCCGAACCAAAAAGGGGGUGCCUGCGCAUCCCUAGUGUCUGAGCCCCGUGCGAUGACAUCUAGCGCGCCAGGUAGGGGGCGCGUGAGGAGAGAUCGCCGGUGAUCACCGGCGCCGUCGUCUACAGCUGCAUCGGCUCCCUCUUCCCAGACAGCCGAACCAGCCAUCAUGCCCCCAAGUGGGCUGGUGACUCGAGGAUCAACCCGCGUGGCACCCCGUCGGCGCACACGCGGUCGCACGACGUGCAGCGCACGUUGCAGGAGGGCGAUCCUGAGCCUACCCGGGUGCAGCAGCCGCAGUCGCAGCUGCCACCACCGCCACCCCCUCGGCCGUCGACGGAUAACCGGUUGAGGGGGCUUGCGGCUCCCAGUGCCGGAGCCAGUCGCAUGAGCGGCCACAAUGCCGCACGCGUCGGUCAACGAGCACUCUCGUGGGCCGACGACCCGCAGCCACAGCUGCGCCAGGAACACGGCGCGUCGCGGGCGACGCCGACCGAUUCACGCCCUGCUCACCCGAGGGCGCCGGGGGACAGGGCGGAGGGCAGCCGCUCUGAGAACCGGCAGCCUCCCGCUCAGACCCCGGCGGAGGCUAUCAUCGCCGCACGUGUCAUGGUGCGCUACGAGCCGCCGCAGGGCACGCCGGCGCACGAGGCAUGGAGUGCGGAGCUGGAGGCACUCCUUGCGCUCGCCGCCCAGCUGGUUAAUAACAAACUCAGAAGCAGGACGUAGGUUUUUACCCCUCAGGGUGGGCCGAACCUGGGUAAAAAGCGCUCUUGUGUUCAUUGCGCCUCUACGCUUCGCAUUGGCCUCGCCGGCGAUUGCCGGAGCGAUCCCCGUCGCCCACUGCCGAACCAAAAAGGGGGUGCCAGCGCAUCCCUGGUGUCUGAGCCCCGUGCGACGACGGAGAGAGAGAGGGGGCGUACCUGCAAGAGCCAUGGCCGAGAACUGAGAGAGAGGGUCACUGGAUCCACCAGUGUGGAGGCCGUGGCGGCCGAAUCCCGGCCCGCGGCCGCCGGAUCCACCCGCAUGGAGGCCGGGGUGGCCGGAUCCCGGCCCGCGGCGACCGAAUCCGCCGGCGUGGGAGCCCUGGCUGUGAGGGAGUGAGCGAGUCAGAGAGAGAUUAAGCGACGGAGAGAUAGAGAGAGGGCGAGAGGCGGCGACGGGCUCGGGGGCGGUGGUGGCGGAGCUCCACGGCGGCGGUGGAGAAGACAAGGGCGCUCGGGGAGAGAAGAGGGGAGGCGUCCAUGGCGGCCGCCGUUAGUCACCGCAGGCGCGGGCGGUGCCGGUGUGGGUGUGCCCGUCUUGUGUGCGCUCGGGGAGAGAAAUCGGGGAGGAAGAGGAGAUCGAGCAGGGGGACUGGUGGGGCGCGCGAGGAGACAGAGGGAGAUUGGAGAGAUAGAGGGAGGGGAGGGAGGCUGGCAGCGCGGAGGAUUGGAGGAGGGAGUUCGGGUUAGUUGUCCCUUUAUAUAGGAAGAAGUGGGUCGGGCCUAAAAUGGUUUCGCCCAGUAGUAUCAGUGGCGGGUCUAACUUUAAAACCCGUUAGUGAUGAGUCCAGGAACUUUUUUUUGUAUUUUUCAUACUUAUUGUAAUAUGAAGUAUUUCAUAUAAUUAAAUUGGCCUAUAAAUUUUCAGUAUGGUUUAAUUUUUGUGAAAAAUGGAUAGGUUUCAUUUUGAACAAUAUUAAUUGUAGUUGCUUCACCAAAAUAUCUCAUUUUUUGCAUUUGGAAAUUGGAAAAUCACUUUUUAUAACCAAAACAUGGUAAACCUCUUUGGAAAUAUUGUUUUUUAUCACAAGAUUCACCUUUGUGCAAAAAUGGAUACAUUAUCAUGAAAUGUGGCAUAGAAAUUGACAAAACUUUUGCCAUUUGGGUUAAAAUCUAAAGUUCAACUAUGAGAAAUAACAAGAUUGUACUACACAUGUCAUUUUUUCAAAUGUUACCAUAUGAUAUUAUUAUUCCACUAUGUUAAGCAAGAAAAAAUAAGACUUUAGCAAAAAGAAUCACAUUUUUCUGAUUUUUUAUGAAUUAGUUAUGAUUUUUCCAAUCUCCCAAGGUCUCCGGGGGUCAUCAGUGGCGUGCCUAGAUGUAAAGCAGGCCACUGAUGUGUGAUUUCCUGAAUUUUGUUAUUUUUUGCAUUGAACCAUUAGUGACGGGCCUUUCGGGCCCGUGACUGAUGAUUGGUCAUCAGUGACGGGCGUACAGCGCCCGUGACGGGCUUACCGCGCCCGUCACUGAUGAGGUCAUUAGUGACGGGCGUGGAUGCGACCGUCACUGAUGUUGGUCAUCAGUCUCGUCACAUAUGCACCGUUUUGUAGUAGUAAGCCAAUCUCCCAUGUGGGCAUGUUGCUUUAUUUUGGCUCGAUCUCUUCGAUGAUGGCUGAGCAUUGUUAAAGAUGAAAUCGUUGCGAGUCUUUCGGAUGCUCCAACAGACCAGGGUGGCAAUUUUCAUGAAGAAAUGCACGUCAAGCUGCUUCCUAUAUAUAUAAUCUCAACCAUAUUCUGAUGAAACAGUGGAAAAAGAGAAGAUCGCUAAUCUCCGUGAGGUUUCGUUGGCACUUGGCAGAAAACACAUGAGUGGGAUGGCAGGUGGAAUUUUUUCCUGAAGAGCAUUUCUCUAGUGUUAAAUCUAUCAAUGAGAAACAGCCAGCAGAAAAUCUUGUGUGCGGACAGCAAAAACUAUGGAUAAGAAAUUCGCGUGUCACUUAAAAUCAGCAAAAUCAGAGGAGCUGCGUCCGGAGAGGAAGAGAACAAGCUGCAUGCGGCCACUCGUUGUACUGCUACUCCAGAACACUGACGAAUCCAUAUAUGUAGAGAGAAAAUACAAGGUACUCUCGGGUGUAGUUACUCCUGACUUUUAACGGGUUGCAGGCGCAGUAAAAUCAAUUAAUUAAUUGCAAAUUAUUGCCCGAUUCCUUGCCUGGUUUGUUCCGAUUUUUUUGGGCCUGCUAACGUCAUAUAUCGAUCCAAACAGUAUUUUCUCCUCCCAUCUAUCUGUCGCCCGUACGGCCGCACGUAGAUUUGAAGCAACCAGGCCGAUGAGAGAAUUGGUUUUGGAGCUAGCCUCCCUCGAUUCUGCCAUCCCGUUUCCUGGCCGCUGGCCAUAUGAAGGGAGAUCCAUGCAUGGAGGUACUUGUGUGUUAUUGAUCCAUCUAUUUAUUUUGAACGUGCAUCAAUCAAUCUGUAAUCUAGCUAGUUUGUUUAUUCAAACCUUUGCCAGGCGAAACCAUACUACUCCGGCCGCUGCCGACCGUCAUACGCCCGGUUUCUGAUUUAUCGAUUCUUCAUUGAUGCUAGAUUGUGCUGCGGCCGCUGCCGACAUCAACGGCGCUCUCCGGCGUGCCGCGUGUGUCGUCUGCCACUGGUAACUCGAGAGGCCUGAAAUUAUUCUACGGCAGCGCGUCCGUGGGAAGAUCAUAUCUAGCCAGCCAUCUCGUGUACAUGGCCACGUAGAAGCAACUAAUAUUCUUCUUGGUUGUGAUGCAUACGUCGCACACAUGAUUAAUUUUGAAUGUAGUACUACAUAUUUUCUUCUUGAAUCAAUAUACAUACUGCCUUCUAAUAUUCUACCUUAUGUUAUACAACAUACUACCUUCUAAUAUACUACGUGCUCUUAUACUACAUACUACCUUCUAUUAUACAACAUACUACCUUCUAAUAUACUACCUUCUGUUAUACUAACUUCUAAUAUACUAUCUUCUGUUAUACAACAUACUACCUUCUAAUAUACUACCUUCUACCUUCUGUUAUACAACAUACUACCUUCUAAUAUACUACCUUCUCUUAAACAUACUACUAGAUCACGGCCCACCAUGCAUACUACUUCUCUUAAACAUACUACUAGAUCACUGCCAUUCUCUUCCUGAUAAUCCCCGCUGUACAUGCAUGCGUGUGGCCGGCCGGAGAUGUACAUGCAUGCGUAGAAUAUACUUCCAUCGUUGGUGUGAUGUACAUGCAUUCACAACAGAAUGUUCUGCCAAGCCACCCAUCCGCCCACCCUUCUCAGCUGGUCUGGUAUAUAUAAGCAAAAUCAAUAGCAUCCUAAUCCAUCCGGCUAGAAAGAAGGAGGUUGUUGUACUAGUACAUAAUUAUCUAGACUAUUUAAUUACAAAAUCAAUUAGUUACUGCGUGUUGGAUUCUACCGCAACCCACUAACCCGGUAGAUGCUUAGGGGGUAAUUACUCCCGGUUGUACAAAAAGGCGUCUAUACACACACUCCAGGACAAUAUACUCCAUGUGUCCCAAAUUAAGUGACAUGGAUUUGUAUACUUAUACAAAUCGAGGUGGUGCAGACUUUAUAAUUGUUGGGGCGGAGGAAGUAUUAAAAAAAAAUACUCCUAGUAUAUAUUAUUGUUUUAUACACCUACAAAUCGAGGUGGUGCAGACUUUACGACUGGCGCGGGCAGUCGUUUUCGUUUGGGACAGUCGGCUCGAUUCUCGACUACCUCGUGAACAGCGAUCGAGCACAUUUUGGCGUCGAUCGACGGUGAUGAUGUUCUCGCGAAAGCUUGCCAAUCUGUGGUUCAGACAUUGUCGUCAACACGCACGCACGCACUCCGUCUCACCACUAUAUAAUUACACAGAGCUACGUGCAGCUAGUUGAUGCAUCACACCGAAAUCCGAGCAUAGAUUUUUCGAUUAAUUAUUGCAAAACGAGGUACUCGGUCGUGAUCAUAUGUCCUUAGUAGUUCCCUGUUUCUUCAGUAGAAGUGCUGGUGCUAUGCUGCUGCAAUGCAGAGUUCAGCCUUCCUACGACCUCCUCCGCUGUGACCUUGGAGCCUUCCUCCACCUGAAGAGAACAAUCAAGUUAAUUGAUAUGUUUCUAUAUACUUCCUCCGUCGCACUUAAGGGACGUGGAUUUGUAUAGUACAAAUUCAAGUAAAGUUAUUUCGGAACGGAUGGAGUAGCAAAUAUGAUCGAAUGCAAUGAUUAGCUUGAUAAAAAUGCAUGUUCCUGUUGUUUCAUCAACGAUGUUCAUCAGAUAUAUAUGGAGACUUCACAAUAAAUGAGAUCAAAUCGAGUGAGUUUUAAUAUAUAUGUUGAAAUACUUCACAUACAUAAGCCGCCGCGCUACUCUAAUCUCAUCUCCUUCCCCCCUUGUCGCCGCAUGAGAUGACAGCCAGGCGAGCUCCCGUGGUCGUCAGUGACGAUGGCGGCGACAAACAAGGCUACCUCUAAUAUAUAUAGGUGGUUCUCAUGGUGGCCGGUGUGGAUUACGAGCGGUGCUCCAGACCCGGGAGACAACAUGGCCACGUGCUCGUGGCAUCGUAACGUUGCCAAGAAGCGACUGCCUGGCUUCGUUAAGGUCCAGAUCACAGAUGUCCCUCCUCGGUGGUGUAGCACGCGGCGGCGGGGCCAGCAGUGGGCUAGAUCAGGCAAAGUGGCUGCGGAAGCGACCGGUUGAUCUCCUGGGUGUUGCGCGGAUCUGACGUAGCUCCCUAUUGAGGCAUACAUGAUCUUCUGUCUGCGUGCCGUUCUCUUCUUGUGGCGGGAACCAAUCACUGUUGUUGCGGCAACAACUAAUUUGUUGUGCGGACACCGGCGUUCUAAAACUGCUUCCAACAUUUCAUCACAUGGUGCGAGUGGAUUGGGGCCUUCUUGGUGUGAGAUGGCCAACACGAGUGUGUAGCCACGGUCCAGUAGAGAGGAUUGAAGGCAUGGCAUCGGCAUAUACAACAAGUUUUGCAAUUUCUCCGGGUGAAAACUCAUGGUCUUCCGCCUCUCUGGCUAGAUCAGGCAGCGUGUACAAAUGUGUGUUGUACCUUGGUAGCCUUGGGUUUUUAUCUCUUUUUGUAAGCCGAUAAUUUGUGCAAUCUUGAUGCAUGUUUUUUCCUUUUUUUAAUAAAAUCAUGGUUCUGUGCAAUCCGGGCACGAAGAGGCCAAAAAAAACAUAACUAGGACAUAAUACUGGCCAGCCGACAAGGGAGGCGAUAUUACCAGGUAAUUACUAUGCAGUUAUCAAUAUACUUUAGAUGGAGUAAUUAAUUGUAAUUAACCACGGAGGAGGCUGAGAAUGAGACAAAUCUUAUUCCUAGGUUAAUGAGAGAUAAGAGCCUUGAAUAUUGAUCUUCUGUUUGCACAUCAUUAGAGAUAUUGUGUGCUUAGGCAUUAUUUGCACAUCAUCGAUAGACAAUUGCCAUUAGCACACUUGUACAUCUAAAGUUUGCAUCGGCAUUAUGAUGUGUAUCUUGGUCGGCUUACUAACGGCAGUUUCUGAGAUGACAGACCCGAUUAUGAAAUCAAGAAAAAUGUCACAAAGUAAACAGAGGUACUCCUAACUCUUUUUACCUAUUCCCUCCGAUUCAUAUUAAUUGCCUCAAAUUUGCCCAAAUAUAGAUGUAUUUAUGCCUAAAAAAUGUCUAGAUAUAUAUGUAAUAUUUUGACAAUUAAUAUGGAUCGGAGGGAUUACUUAUCUAUGCCUCAAAAAAAAAAUCUCUUUGUUACCACAAGCCAUGUAUGUACACUAUUUCCCUUCCAGCUUGUUUAGAAACUUGUCGGACAAACUAUAACUACAUGUAGUGAGUUUUACUAUCCAGCAUUAUGCGUUUUGUGUCUGGACUCUGGCUAGCUAGCUAGUGCUGUACAAGAACCAGGAUAAAAUAAAACGUGCAGAAAUGGUUGGGAUUACAAUAUGCAUGCUAAAUGAUAGUACUGGCCGGCCUUUUGUAUAUAUGUUGCCAUGUGUGACAAAUUAUUGGUCUCCUGAUAGUGCAUGAUAGCUUUACACAUCUCGUACAAAUUAGAUUAAGCCCAUUAUAGUACAACUAUGGGUAUGGUUCAAUAUUUUGUGGUUGAUUGGUAGUACUGUAUGAUCCAAGUCCGGCACACAAAAAUGCCAACCCAUUCUUGCGUUCAAAAAAAAAAAAGCCAACCCAUUCCCCUAAUUUGGUUCCGAUCGGUCCAACAUAUGUGUCGCUUAUAAAAAUCUCCAGAAUUAAUUAACAGCAGGAAGAAAGCACUUGCCUUGGCCGUGAUGGUUAUGAUGAGAGUGCAGGCGGUGAAGGCCAUGACAUUGGCGUGGGUGACGCUGAGGCGAAGCCCGUCCUCCACCUCCGACAGCACCCUCACCACCACCCCCUUGGCGUCCUCGCACAGGAUCCUCACCAUCACGCCGUUCUCCGCGAACCGCGCCUCGAUCUCCGGCAGCGGCUGCAGGCUCCUCCCCGGCGCCGGCGCCCCUGACGAGCCGUUGUCUUCUGAUGCGCCGUAGCAGGGCUUCUUGACGAGCACCACGGUCUCGACGCUCCUGCUGUUGCUGCCGCUGGCCGCCUCCAGGGCCUUGAUCUUCUCCUGCAGGUCCUUCACGUGCCGGGUCGCGUCCGACAGGAUCGUCGCCUUGUCCAUCUGCACCCAACAGUAGCAGACUAGCAGUGAGAUUUACUAUUUCCAUGUGAGAGCUAGGUAGGUAGCAAGACACAAAGACGUGUAGUGCUGUACUUAGAAGAACAGGAAGCAGCCAGUGCAAUUGAUGAUUCAGUUUGAUGGGAGGAUCACCUUCUUGAGGCCGGGGAUGACGGUGGAGAGCUCGAUGAAGCGCUGGUUGAUCUUCUCCCGGCGCUUCCGCUCCGCGAUGAUAUGGUCCUGCGCGUACGGCGCCGGAGUAGGCGUGUGCCCCGUGCUCGCGGUGCUGUUCGCCGAGGCUCUUCUCGAUGUCUGUGACGACGCCAAGCCGGGCUCAUAAAGUCUGGCCGCGGCCGCGUCCGGCGCGCCGGCAUCGGCGGCCGGCUGCGCGGACGCGGCGCUGAAAUUCCAGCUCAUCACGGGCCCUGGCAGGCUAACGUUGGGGCCGCCGCCAUUGCCGCUCGCGUUCGCGUUCGCGGGCGGCGAAGGCGGCAGCCAGACAUCGUGCUGCUGAUCCAUGGCGCCCGGCGCCGUGGACGAGAAGUGGACGCCGCCUCCGCUGCCGCCGUCUGUGUCGCCAGAGCUCCCGCUGUUGGCGGCGUGGGCGUCCGUGAGCAGCUCUUCGAGGACGAGCGCUGCGUGCGAGACGUCGCGGAGCGCCUGGAGCGAGGGGAAGUUCGCCUCGUCGCCGCCGCCGCUGACGACGGCGGGCGGCAGCAGGUGCUCGUGCUCCAGCGUCUCCAUGGCCCAUUCCAUGAACAGGGCUGACUCGUCCAUGUCCUUGCCUCGACCUGCUCCAUAUGACCAGAUCAUUGGUUAUUCCACAAGACCAGGACGAACCUGUUUCUUCUUUUAUACAGGAGUUGUUUAGAACUUUAGAUAUUUGCAAGGGAAUAAGAAAACUGAAGUUACCUCAAAUCGCUCCCUUAGUAAGAUUAGAUAGUCUCCUGCAAUUACUUUGUGACGAGAAGCACACCCAGAGAAGAGUACGUAGAGCAGAGUGCGCUUGCCUUUUAUAGAUAAAAAGCCAGCUGUACUACCAGUCACUGCAAAUCUACAAUGCGCGCUUGCUCACUUGAGGGCUUGAGGCCCUCCCUAAUUUCGAAUGACCAUUGAUGGGAGAUUGGGUGUAAACAAUAAUUUCCUGCGAUUCUGGUUAUGUCGCUUGAAUCAGAUCAGGAAAAUGAUAUUUUGCACCCCCGCCCCCCCCUCACAAUAUUAAUAUAGGUGAUGUAUACACUCCAGGCAAAGGUGAACUAGAAUACAACAGCUGAUGUCCACGGCCGAUAUAUACGUCGAUUUGACCCCAUUCAUCUCUGGAGCAAUGUUUUCUUUUUUGGGUGGUAUAAUUCGUUCCUGAUUGGCAUCAUAUUAGUCUCGGGCCGGGCUCACAUCUUUCACUUCAAAGUGACACUUGCAGCAAAUCACUAGAAUUAACAAAGAAAAAACAUUCAACGCCUCAGGCCGCAGCCUGGACUGCCUGAGGCCUGUCUCCGCCUCUGACUUGCAGGAAAAAACGACCAUGCUAGGGAUCGUGUAAAGAUCCGUACAGAUUUGGAUGUGCUAAUUUAGUUGAUUGCGGUGAAAACUAAUUUUCUACUCAAUGCUGAUGUCUUUAGUUUCUGUGGCACGGAAGGGAAAAAUUAUAAUAUAAUAAUCUUCUUUAAUUAGCUGCCCCACGAUAAAAUAGAAAAAUUAUUAUCUGCCACCCGACCAACCAACCACAAAACUAAGUGCAAUGUGUGGAGCCUGUGUAGUAAUGUAGAGCUUCUACCAUACGACUAAGAAAAUCAGUCCCUGCAAUAAUUUUUAAUUCUGAACGUAGGGUAUACUAUGUACUGUACAUAUGUUUCGCAAUAAUUGGGUGAUCCAGCUAGAUAAAUGUUAACGGGGCAGCUAGAUAAUUCAGCAGGAAUUGAGAGGACUGAAGAGAAGUACCAAAAGAUUACAACUCCUUUUUCUUUUGACCUCACCAGAAAGUUACAGCUAUUACUACAACAGAGAGUGUGCGCCAUGUCGUUCGACGCACUGCCACCCUUGCUCUCCCGUGGUAAGCCCAAUAAGGACGGUCCACCAAUGUAUGAAACAACAUGAACAAUAUGGACGUAGAAUGGUUAACCCUAACAAUUGAUUCUCAAAAAAGAAGGCAAUCCUAACAAUAGCCACGGGAAAACCCUAACCGUCAUUUUUGCAGGAAGUUUCGAUCUCCAGCGGUUUCGCUCAUCACUGACGGCUAAUCUGGCAUUGAGAGGCAGGGGAAUCACAGCUAAUCUGGCAUUGAGAGGCAGGGGAAUCACAGAUCAAGGCUGACAUCUACUUUUCUAUUUUUUUUGUAAGGUUUAUGUAUGGGUAAAUUUCAGGGGAAUCACAGUUCUUGAGGCAAGCUUUUCACAGAACCACAUUUUUCGAUAAUUUUCUCGCAGAAGCACACUUUUUCGAACUAAUCUUCUCAGUUUACCCGAAAACGAUGUUUAAGCGCAUUUGUCAUUUUUCCUUAUAGGUGGGGCCCACUAUCAGGUCACAGCCCAUUUAUGUGGUAACCCCCCUGUUUCUUUCACACACUUUUCUCCCCCUUCUUCUUCCUCUUCUCUCCCUUCUCGAUAUCCUAACCGCUGGCCGGACCUCCCCGUCUCCUGCCGGCCUACGCCCCGACACUCCGCUGUCGCCCCUCAUCCAGUUCGUUGUUGCACUGCGCGUGGAGUCCCGCCGGAUGGACCGUAUAUAGCUGCUACUCUAGUUUUCUACCAUCCCCUGUUCCAACUCCGACACAAACAAAGACCGGGAUCAAAUUUCCUUGAAAAGCAAUCACCGCGGAUGAGCCCAUCCCAAUCUUGGGCCGUCUCGACACCCGCAUCGCGCUCGGCCCAUCUCUCGCGCGAGCUCCCCGUCCUGGACGGGAUGCCGCUGUCGAUUCGAUUUGGCCGGCACUACCAUAGAUUCGCGCUGCUGCCACGUCGAGGGGCUCCGCCACGACCUCCUAGGCAGCCCAUCAUACUUCCAGUGGCCCUCCCCGGUGCCUGGCGACCUCCGCACGGCCACCGUCGAUGCCUCCGUUGUGCGGCCGCCGCCAGCUCUGCCAGAGCCACCGCCGCCCGCUCGUGCGGGCACUGCAGCAGGCGCGGAGGACGGCACGCUCGGGCGCAGGUCGGCUCGCGAUGGCUAGAGCAGGGGAGUGCCGCGGGUCGGCGGGGGGAGGCGCACUGGAGGGGACGAAGGAGUUGAAGGGAACUCUGUGGGGAGAGAAAAGAGAGGAUGAAGAAAGUUAAAAAGUGAAAUUGAAAAUAUGCAUGGGCUUAAUGCAGAAAUGGGCUGCGACCUGACAGUGGGCCCCACCUAUAAGGAAAAGUGUCAAAUGCGCUUAAACAUUGGUUUUGGGUAAACUGAGAAGAUUAGUCCGAAGAAGUGUGGUUCUGCGAGAAAAUUAUCGAAAAGUGUGGUUCUGUGAGAAACUUGCCUCAAGAACUGUGAUUUCUUGAAAUUUACUCUUUAUGUAUUCUUUGCGGUGACAUCUUGGUGAUGGAGAAAACAUCGUCUAGAAGGUUGGUGUCUGGUUCCGUCCUCAUCCUGGCAUACGCUUUGCAGUUUAGUCCAUGGAGUCAGUUGUUCUCAUGUCAUGUCCUUUUGUCUUUUUUCCUGUCGAUUCAUUAACGGAGAAACGACUUCAUAGCUUUUCUUGUAAGGAUUGUGUCCCCGGCAUGGUGCGUUCAACGAUACUUGGUUCCCACUGUCUGAGGUGGGCAUCCCAUGCGGCUUUUCAAAACCUAUGAUAUUAGUCUAACUUGAAAAGGUAUGGUGUUCUACAAUUUCGUCACGAUUAUGUGGAAGAACGUCAAAAUUAAUGUGAAGGAUGGAUCAAGAGAAGUUUGUUUCCAAGGACCGUGAUAAAACUAUACAUUCGAAACAAAGACGAAAAUCGAGAACGAGAAUAUAGGCACUCUCGCUGUAGUUCCAAUCGCGUCAUGUCGACCAGGGCAAGCCACCCUCAUUUUCCACAUACUACUAGCACUACUACAAAAGCAUUCAUCAGUAACGGGCAAAAAACCACAUCACUGGCGGGCAGACCACCCGUCACUACGUGGUUGCCAGUGAUGUGGGUACCAUCAGUAACGGGCGGCCUGCCCGUCCGUGAUGGGUGCCUCAUCACCGACGGUCACACACAACGACCGACACUGAUAUGGAUUUGGAAAAAUAAAAAAAAGGGCCAGCCCCUGGCCAGCCCCAAAUCCACAUAGCAGCCCGGCGUUGACCUCACCGCACCGCAGGCGGCGGCAGCUGGAGGAGAUCGGCAGAACAACGGUGGCUCCAUGGCACUCCACUUCAGAGUUUAGAGAAAGAGAGAGUGAGAGGGAAACCGGGGCUGCAGAAAGAGAGAAAUGAGAGGGGUAAGAGACCGACCUGGAGAUCUUCGACUCCAUGAUGGCGCCGUCAACUCCAUGACCGUCGUGUCGACUCCUUGACCACGCCGUCGACUCGAUGCCGGACUGCAUUUGUGAGAGAGUGGGAGAGUGAGAGAGGAAGAGGGAGGAAAGAAAACCAAGACGGGAAUGGGGACUUACCGGUGGCUGGGUGGCCGAGAAAGGCCAGAUCCGGUGGGGCGAGGCCGGGGGCUGCCGGAUCCGGCCCUGUCCGUCAUCGGUGGCCGGCAUGGGAAGCGGGGCCGGCGUCAGAGCGGUGGCGGCGCGAGCGGAGGAGGAGGGAGGGAGCUCGGGAGCCCGUGGAUGGGGGAGAUCGCCGCUCGGCUGGAAAAGAGGAGGGAGAGAGAAAAGAGAUUGGGAGGGAUGAGGAUGGGGAAAGGAGAAAAUAUCGGGGAGGCAGGGAGAGAUGUGGGCCUGUGGAUCCGGUUCCUCUGUUGCUCAGCCAAUAGGGUGACAGCAGACGAAUCUGUGCUUCUUAGUACUCCUGAAAAUCUAGAGAACAUCAGUGGCGGGUGCAAUUGUAAGGCCCGCCACUGAUGUUUAUUUUUGUGAAUUUUGCAGAUUUUUAAAUUGGGCCAUUACUAACGGGCGUCCCGUGCCCGUUACUGAUGAAGUGUUAUCAGUGACGGGCAUACCACGCCCGUCACUGAUGGGCGGGAUGCCCGUUACUGAUGAGGGUCAUCAGUGACGGGCCUUUCCCGCACGUCACAUGUGUUGUGUUUUGUAGUAGUGUGGCUAUCUAGCUUACGGCGAUAUAAUACUUCUAGGUUCUCAGUGGAGCAAAAAUUAGUUAGUUGCCACUUUGGCCACUUCAUCGUUGGUCCCGAUGUCCUCUCAGCAGUGUUGCAUGGGCGUCUGAAUCCUAUCGCCCGUCGCUGAUGAGUAAUCAUCAGUGACGGGCGUGGUGUGCCCGUCACUGAUAAGGGGUCAUCAGUGACGGGCACGGGCACGCCCGUCACUGAUGUUAUGUUAUCAGUGACGGGCAUGGUAUGCCCGUUACUGAUGAGGGUCAUCAGUGACGGACGGGAAAGACCCGUCACUGAUGACCCAUCACAUAUGUUGUGUUUUGUAGUAGUGUGGCUAUCUAGCUUACGGCGAUAUAAUACUUCCAGGUUCUCAAUGGAGCAAAAAUUAGUCAGUUGCCACUUUGGCCGCUUCAUCGUUGUCCUGUCAGUAGUGUUGCAUGGGCGUCUGAAUUCUAUCAAUUUCUUCUCAUGUGUUUAGCUUUCUCUAGUUCAUGUAUUCUUUCUACAUAACUUAGUUUUCCAUAUUAUCAUUUUGGACUUAUUACUAGUGAUGUAUUUUAUUGAGCGACUUACCUACAUGCACGGGAAAUAAAUAAUAAGGAAAUUUAUGUUUGAAAAUAAAUCGUCCAAAUUGAAUUGCCAUUUCAUACGGUUUUAUGGAGGGGGGGGGGGGGGGGGUUCUCUUUCGUUGUGGUCUCAUUUUAUUGUAAAAAUAAGAAUUACUUACUUCUGUUUACAAUAGUGAUAUUUUUUAUUAUACCAAAUUCCACUAAUAUUUGAUAGGAGUAGCUCUAUUUUAUAGUGUAAUUUAUCUAUAGCAAAAAAUAUAACUAAUUUUAUUUGUAGCAACCAGCAGAUAUUUACCUACUCCCUCCUACCGAAAUUAUUUGUCGAAAUAUUACAUGUAUGUAGAUGUUUUUUAAACAUAGAUACAUUCAUAUUUGGGUAAAAUUGAGACAAGUAAUAUGGGUCGGAGGGAGCAGCAUGUAUGAUUUCCAAAUGGUUUAACACAGCAGUAGGAACGUGUUUCACAACGGGAAAUUAAACUAUGAUAGGAUUACCUGAACAUAUCAGUAACUCGAUUAUUGGAUCGGGCGAGUGUAGGCGUCGAGUCGACCGUCAAAUCCCUCGACUUUUUGCAGUAAAGCGACGUGCCGUUUUUGUUCGGACGUGCCAGCAAAAGUAAACGCAUGAUAUUCUGCUGCAUGCGUGCGUGGCUGCGUGCUUUGCUUAUCUUUUACUGCUCUAAAUUAACAAAAUCAUCGCGGCGAUGAAUCAUUCUUGACAAAUUUUAAUCGAGCACCGGCGGCCGUCCGGUAAGAAUCACGUGCACAUGCGCUCUGUUUCUCUUGCUUUGCACGCAGUGCGCUGUGCAAAUUGCGGCCAUCCAGUAAGAAUCUCUUGCCGGAUUAUUUAAGCGUUACGGCGUCCUCGUGACCGUAUCCACGUACAGCGCGCACGCGAAAGGUUUGUUUGUCCAGAAAAUAUCAUUGGAUCGACGGCACCACAACUGUUAAUUAUAUGUGGAGUAUCUCAUGUUCGCCGAGGAAAUCAAGAUAUGUAUGAGAACUCAUUUGUGUGUACCGAGUGAGUUAUUGACUCCACGAUUACAUGGCAAUUUUUUUAAAAAUAAUAUGAUUUUUUUAAUCAUUUUUAAAAAUAAUACGCGUUUUUUAAAAAUUUCAAAAAUAAUAUGGGCUCGGCAUCGCCCAGGCCGAAUGGACCCAGUCGGCCUGGCCCAAGCCGAUUAGGCUCAGUCGGCCUCGGCCAGGCCGACUGGAGGCAGGCUGCUCGGCGCGCGGGGCCCCACGAGGCGCUCGGUUUGGCUCAGACCGACUGAGCCCAGUCGGCCUAGCCUUGGCCGACAGGCCAGUCGGCCUAGCCAUGGCCGAAAGGCACCUGGUGGGCCGGCGGAAUCUUCCUUUUUCUUUUUUUCCCUUUCCCUUCCUCCCUUCCCAUCCCGUGCGCGAGCCCACCCAGACGCCCCCGAGCCCCUUCUUCUUCCUGCUCGUGUUCUUCUCCGUUCUUCUCUGUUUUUCCUUUUCUCCUCAAAUGCUCCCAUUUUCUAGCCCAAAUUAGUGCAUCUUGAUCCCAUUUAACCCACAAAAUCGCAUCCCCUACCUAGUUGGCACCCAAAGACACCUCGAUCUACUGUUUUCAUAGGCCAUGUAGAGCUAAUUUUGUGGUGCAAAAUUGGAGCAAUGGUGGUGGUUUGGAAGAGUUUGGAGGUGGUGGUAGUGCUCAUCCGGUGACUGUGAGACUGCUCGAGGUUGGGGUUCACACGUUUUAAGGGUAAGUCCUAAUCUCUCACGUAUUUAUCCUAUAAGUAUAUGUUUGUGAGGAUACGUGUGUAUGUAUAUAUAAAAUGUAUGUUUUAGCGUUUGGUAGUGCUUAUUAUUUUGGGCAACGGUUAAUGUCGUACUGCUUAGUAUUUGAUGCAUCUAAAUAUUAUGGCCGGUAGUAAAAUGUUUUGAUAGACUAGAUUUUUUUUGAUGCCGUACUGUUUAGUAUUUGAAGCGUAUUAAUAUUUUAAAUCUGUCGUACUGCUUAGUAUUUUACGCGUCUAAAUAGUAUGGCCGGUAGUAAUAUGUUUUGAUGGGCUAGAUUUUAUUUAUGCCGUACUGUUUAGUUUUUGACGCUAAUAUGCCGUAUUGUUUAGCAUUUGUCACGUAUUAAUAUUUUUAAUAUGCCGUACUGCUUAGUAUUUGACGGUCUUAAUAUUUUUUAUAUGCCGUACUGCUUAGUAUUUGACGCGUCUAAACAUUUUUUUAGGCAUCAAAGAUGUCCGGUGUAGUGAAGUUUGUUUUUUACUACUGUUCCGGUACUGUCUUAACAACAGAGCACGAAGCUGAUCUGAGUCAGUUUAAGUAUGUGGAGUUGAAUCUAACGGCCCCUCAAACAUGCACGUUUAGUCAGUUGCAGGAAUGGUUGGUAGGAUGUUUAGCACUCAAUCCUAAAACAUACACCGUCCGUGUGCAAGCAUUGUGGACCAAGUCAAGUUUAAAUAUUUUUUGGGUUUUGAGGCCGAUAGACUGGACAUCAAAGUGGGUGCGCUAGUUAGAAAGUUGUGAGAAAAGGGAAACUACACCUGUCACCUUAAUCCAUGUUGUCGCUCAUGAGACCAAUCCAGCUGAAGGCGAGAGUGAAUCAGGUUAUGGCUUGUCCAAUGCAAACUCUGUGUCGAAUGCUGGAGGUGGUGGUUACGAAUCAGGCCAGAACUCUGGGACAGUAGGAGAGGAUGAGUACACUGGCGAGGCAGAUGCGGACGAAAAAGAUGGUCACUUGCAGAACCAGAUGGAAGAUGAAGAUACAGAUGGUCAUAGUUCUUAUGACAAUGAGUCUCAUGAGUCGGACGAAGAGGAGGUGCCGAUUCCCGCAUCAUGGAAUCAGGACUUCUCUUCAGCUAUGACCGUGAACGAUGGGCACGACUCUGCAUGGCAAUAUCAUUAGAACAACAUUGCGAAGGGUGCUAGAUUUCCUGACAAGAAACAUCUGCAGGAUGCAAUAAUUGCUUGGGCAAUGUCCACGCAAAGGGUUUUCAAAACAACAGUCUCUUCACAAAAAUAUCUGACAAUGGAGUGUGAACAAAUAGAUUGUCCCGGAAGGGUGUAUGGCUAUGUUCCUAAGUAUGACACAGAUUGGGUUGUGACUGACUUGGUGUUGCACACAUGUGUCAUUCCCAGUAUCCUUCAAGACCAUCGUAACCUCUCGUCGACGCUUCUUGCUCGGUUGCUUUACACGGAGAUAGUGGAGAGCAAAGCAAUGGAAGUGAAGGCCAUCAUGCGUAAGGUCAGGGUAAGGUUUAAGUACAACAUUUUGUAUGGCAAGGCUUGGAGGGCUAAGCAGAGGGCUCUUGAGGAAAGAUUUGGUUCGUUUUAUGACUCGUACGACUCGGUUGUCCGCCUCCUCCAUACACUACAAGCCCGUAAUCCAGGCAUCUAUGUCGACAUCCAACACUUCGUGCACCCAGAGUAUCCAACUGUAAGGGUGCUGCAACGACUGUUCUUCACUUUCGGUGUAUGCGUCCAAGCUUUCCAUCAUUGUCGACCGGUGAUAUGCGUAGAUGGCACUUUUCUCACUGCCAAAUACAGGGGGCAGAUCUUGACUGCCAUUGGUCAAGACGGCAACAAUCAAAUCGUUCCGCUCGCAUUUGCUUUCGUGGAGGGUGAGAACACUAAAAGUUGGUUAUGGUUUUUCAGGCAGCUAAAGAGAGCAGUUGUGCAUGAUAAGCCGAAUGUGUACAUCCUUCAUGACAGACAUGCAGGCAUACUCAGUGCGAUAAGGACACUGACAAACCCUGGGCCUGAUGAACAAACUCCAUGGCAGGACAUGCAGAGUCGUCGGUGCAUGCGGCAUUUGGGGGCCAACUUCUUCUCGUAGUUCAGGAACAAGUCUAUGAAUCUAUUCAAGAAAGUCUGCAAACAGAACCAACAAUGGAAGUAUACUAGGAUACAUGAUUAUCUUUAUGAGUUCACGAAGAAACAUGUUAGGGAGAGGACAGCGGCACGAAACGCAGCGGUAGCAGCACAUGUAGCAGCAGUGGCUGCACAGACAGUAGUUGGAACAGGACCAUCUGAGGAAGAACCUGUUGGGCUUUGUGACUUGCCAAGGUUUGACCCACCCGGCACUAGGAGAACGGUUGGGAGGCAGAUUAAAAACUUUCAGCAGAGGAUAGAGCACGAGCCUCUGGAGCGGUGGUCUUUGCUGCACGACACACAUGACGCUAGGUACGGCGUCAUGACUACUAACCUGGCAGAAACAUACAACUUUGUCCUAAGGGGAAAUAGGGCUUUACCACUUAGAGACAUCAUCAAGGGUAUUUUCCAUGGCACGGUGAACUAUUUCAGAGAUAGACGCCAGAGAACUGAAAUGCAUAUCAUGAACAACCCAAAUACACCAUACUGUGAAAAGAUUAUGAAGUACAUCGAUGAGAAGAUGGAAAAAGCUAGGUCUCAUACUGUCGUCGCCAUCGGUAAUCAAGAACACAGGUUUGAGGUGCGCUUGCCAACUGACAAGUUCGGCGUUGGAAAUGAAUUGAGGACACAAGGUGAAGAUUGGAAAUGAAGCGUGGCCAACGUGUGAGUGCACCUGCAACAAACCAAAGUUGCUUCACCUUCCUUGCUCACAUGUACUUGCUGCUUGCGGGGAGCUAGGGAUGGACGCAAUCUCAUUUGUGUCUCCCUAUUACCUGAAAGAGUCUGUGCUUAACACAUGGACGAGUGAGAUGCUAGGGUUUCGUGCAAUGGGCAAUUUCAACAAGGUAACCCUUGGUGAAAGGCGGUACAUCCCUGACCCCGGGCUACUGCGGACAGGCACAGGCAGACGCCCGUCCAGGCGCAUCCGAAAUGAUAUGGAUGAAUCUGAAGCCGGAGGACCGUCACGACAAUAUUUUCUACGCAACCAUUUUAGCCAUAGGGACACUUAUUGUCCAACUUUCGGUACUGACGGAGCUACUGCCCGUGAAAGAGGGAGACGUGGACGAUGAGUGAGAGGAAGAAACUAGACUAUGGCCUUAAUAUGUACUCUAUGUGAAACUAUGUGUUAAUUUGUACUCUGUGUGGAACUAUGCUAUAAUUUGUACUUUAUGUGGAACUAUGUUUUAAUUUGUACUAUAUGUGAAACUAUGUGUUAAUUUGUACUCUAUGUUUUAAUUUGUACUCUAUGUGGAACUAAGUUUUAUUUUGUACUCUGUGAAACUAAGUUUUAUUUUCUACUCUGUGAAACUAUGUGUUAAUUUGUGCCCUAUGUUUUAAUUUGUACUCUGUGUGGAACUAUGUGUUAAUUUGUAAGCUUUGUUCAACUAUGUUUUAAUAUGUACUCUCGGUUUAACUAUGCUUAACUUUGUAUUGUAUGUCUAACUAUGUUUAUAAAUGUUGCAGGUACAAAAUGGAAGAGUAUCAUUGCUAUCUUCGGAGAUUGAGAGUAAGCAUCGGGCUGCUCGAUUGGUGGCGCAUCCUGGGAGUGUCGAGCCCCUUGUCACGCGCACUCCUAAGGAAAAUUGGAUAAUACACCAUGCCUGGAUUCAGCGGUAUUUAUUCAUUCAUCCCUUGCAUGUCCAUUUUAUUUAUUCAUCCCUUGCAUGUUCAUUUUAUUUAUGCAGUUUGAAGUGGGCUGGCCUUUUACCUUUCGCACGGCUUGUUGAGGCAACUCGUGUGGAAAUGGUAAAGGGCGAGCGACGAGGCUUCAACUCUACACGGCUACAAAUUGACCACUCGUUGUUGAGCUGCUUAGUGGACGAUGAUGUGCUCUUUCCCAUCGACGGUGCAGUACUCUUUCCCUUAGACGAUGAAGAACUCUUACCCGUUUUGCUUGGCACGAAGAUAUCUUCAUCAGACGAUGAUGUACUUUUCCCCUUGGACGAUGAUGUGCUCUUUCGCUUCGACGGUGCAGUACUCUUCACCUUGGACGAUGAAGAACUCUUACCCGUUUUGCUUGGCAUGAAGAUAUCUUCAUCGGAUUCCUCCUCUUCAACCCAUAACAAUGGAUGUUUUCUAGCCUAUUGUAGGUAUGACUCACUCUUACCUUCACUGUGCUUCUUCCAUCUUUCGUGCAACCUUAGCAGUUCUUGCCAUAUCUCUGCAAUGUUUAAAGGUCGACUCUUAGCUAACUCUUACUCGAAUCUUUUCUUAAGAGUUUUUCUCCUUUUUUUUAGAAACACGGUGCAAAUGCAGACGCUCACAACACGUGGGUACACUCACCCCUAUGAACGCACACACGCACACCCUACCCCUAUGAGCACCUCCGGAAGACUGGGCCAACAGGUCUUGAGAGUUUGACGAAGUCACCGCAGGCGCCUCCCUAUUGACGGGUACGCCACCUACCACUGAAAGAAUAGCGGCGGUUAAAUCCUAGAAUAAUUUAGGGAAAUGUGACACCCAUGUCAAGUCUAGAACUUGAACCUCGGUGGGCUGUUUCCACCACAAGGAACCAGACCAACUGAGUUAGGCUCAAUUCACUUCUCUCUCCUAUUUUUAUUUCCAUACAGAAACAAAUCUUCUAUAUCUAAGUAGGAAAAACCCAAUAUUUAAUUUCUCUCAACAUGCAAGCAUGCCACAUCAUCACAUCAUUAAUUUGUUCACACCUAUUUAGUGAAAAACUCAUAUUUUUUGCACAUGAAUGCAUGCUACUUUUUCAUCAAGCUAUUUCCACUAAGUGAAGAAUGUAUAAUCUAUCAUGCAAUUCCAUUAUACAUUUUCACUUGAUACUCUUUUGUUGCUACUCUGUACUCAUGUAUGUUUUCAACAACGUGGGCUCACGUAUGUUAACUAAAAAUUUCCGCAACGACGUGCGGGACAUCAUCUAGUUUAUAUAAGAGUCGGUCAGGAGUCCGCCACCGUGGAUGCCUAAUCAUAUGCGUGUCAAAUCCCCGUGAUUUGGAGCCGAUCGAUGCCACUCGUCCUGGUUAAGCUAGCUACGCGCUAUGGAUGAUCUUGAUUGGUUGCUGAUAGAGUGGGCCUACAGGACUAGAGCAAGAUCAGUAAAUUAGACAGGAGCACAAUAUAGUAAGUGAGAUUUCUUUUUGGAAGACAACGACACGUACUACGACAGCAUUCGUAUGGCCCUGGCAUUUGAAUACCAUAUAGAGCGUACGGACCAUCAAUAUAAAACCAAUGUUAGAUUUUGAGAGGCUACACACACUUGGCAACAAACAAGGAUUAUCCUCUGAUUUCUGGCGGAACAGAUCAGCUAAAAUAAUCUGCGUGUGUAGCAGGUUAGCAGCUAGCAAAAACGAAUCAUCAUAGAGAAGCUUCUGCACAAAGUGUUGACAAAGAAGAAAAAAAACAAAUGCUGACUCGAUCGGAACCGAAUGGCAUGUAUAUAGGUCACCCAAAAGAUGUUUUAUGGACGUUCUGAAAAAAAGAUGUUUUAGGAAUUGUUUCUACAUAGCCAUUUCCUAGAAAGAACUUAAUGUGAAUUUUUAGCAGAUGGAGAGAGCAUAAAGUUAGAAAUACAUAGGACGAAAUAUAGUGGGGAUUUUGGGGGUAUAUUUACCACAGUCCACUUAUAUUUUCUGGUGCCUCACGGGAAAAUGAUGUGGUGCUCAAUUCUUGUAUACGCCAAACAGAUUGGCCAACUAAAAGUUGUAUUUCUUGCGAUUUAAAAGGAAGGAAUGGUGCAACCAGCUCACCCCGCUAAGUCUCCGAUUUGACAUGGAUGCUCGCAUUUUUCUGCAUUUAUUUCAAGACCUAACUGGCGUUGUGUUUUUAGUGGGAGUGACGUACCCGUCGACCACGAGAUACCGGUGGAGAUUCCAUCAAUCUCAAGAUAAUGUGCCGGACCAAUCUCUCGGAAGUGCUCAUAGGGGUAGGGUGUGCGUGCGUGUGUUCAUAGGGACGAGUCUCUCGGAGGUGCUCAUAGGGAUAGCGUGUGCGUGCAUGUGUUCAUAGGAGUGUGUGCGUGCUUGUGAGCGUCUGCGUCUGUGCCGUGUUUCCUCACAAAAAAAAGGAAGGAAUGAGGUGCACAUGCGCGGACAAUGCGAGCCUCGAAGCAAUGUAGAUCAUUGCAAUCGCUUAUCCUUGUAAAGUCUUGUGUUGUUUGUUGAUCUAUUUGGAACUGCAUAAAUGAUUUGGUAUUCAGUAAGAAAAAACUACUUUUUUGCAGGUUGUUCUUCAGACUUCGCAUUGGAUCCAUAUUUGUUCCUACUUCUUCGGACUGAGGCCAAGGAUUUUAAAGUUUGGCUGCACCUGUUUGGAGAUGGUCGCAAGGGAGUUCUUCAACCAGUUUGGGUGACGCACGGCAAUAGACUUGAAGCCAGUUGAUGUGUUUUCGAUUUUUUUAUUUAUGAUGUAAACUUUGAAACUUUUGCGCAAAAGAAAGGUAACUUCAAACUUCUUUGUCGUGCUGACUUUAAUAAUAUGACGGCUGUGCGCAUCAGUUGACCAAGGAGUUUUACUUCUUAAAAAAAACACCAAACAUGUGCCUGUUAUUUUGCAGAAUUUCUAACCUCAUCGAGAUUUCAGUUCCCAUUCUAUUUUCAAGAGAAAAAUAAAAACUGAAUUAGUUGUAACUGGCUUAGUUCUUCUAGUGCUCACCCUGAUUUGAAACCAAUGAUUCCCCGGUGGGGGCUGCUAGGGAGUGCGCGCGCACUUUUUGGCGUAAAAAGUGUCCCCGACCAGAUUCCUUGUCAUGACUUGGUCCCCGCACAAGACAGUGACAUUUCCUUCUCUUCCUACGUGGUCCUCCAUCUCCCAUGCUUUUUUCCUCCUCUACGCUGCCACACAUUUCUCCAUCAACUAAAAAAAAAUACAUAUUAGAUUCAACGCAAACAAAAAGUUACUCUCAAAUCUCCUUCUUCUUCGGUACAAUACCGAUAGUUACUUCGUAAGGCUCAGAUAGAUGUAACUUUUAACAUCACAAUUACAUCUAAAAAAUCAAAAAAGUAACUUUUAACAUCAAAACUACAUCUAUUUAACUCAAAAAAGUAACCGUCAUACAUAGAAAUUACAUCCAACAGAAUAAGAAAGUAACUCUGAUCUAGAAUUUACAUCAAGCAGAAUCAUAAAGUAACUCUUAACACAGAAUUUACAUCAAGCAACGGACACAGUUCGAUUAAGGGAGUAUGAACACGCACAGACACACCAUUAAGCAGAUAGAGUUGGGACACUGGACAAUAUAGGCGGGGUACCUAUCCGCAGCCUCCCAACGAGCGGACCAGCGCUCCUCUCCACGGCCGCGGCGACGCUCGAGCUCUCAACAGGCGAGGGGUGAGGAGGAUAGAGGAGGAAGGAGGGGGCACCAGCCUCUGCAUCGCGACAACGAGUGCACCACCCGGCGGUGACAGAGGACGAAGGAGCAAAGACUGGAGGAGGGGUCAGGGUUGGGCCAUGACGGCUUUGCUGCUGCGCGACCGCCGGCCACUCGUCGUGUCCAGCGAGGGGGACUGUCGGGCCGUGCUCGGCCGCAGCGGCGGGAAGGCGGAGCCGCUCCACCUCCUACCAUGGAGCCUCGCGGCGGGACGAGAGGGAGAGGAUCGAGGCACUCGGCGGCGGGCUGGGCGGCAGCGGAUCGGGGGCCACCGCCACCUCCCACGGGCCAGGCCGGCGGCGGAUCAAACCGCCACCACCUCUCACGGGCCUUAUCAAUCUCGAUGGUGGCGGCGCGCGAGGCGGGGUUGGGGAUGGGGGAGCUGGCGAUGGAAGAGAUGGUGGCACGCGGGCCGCGAGGGGGGAGGAAGGAGGCGUCCAGGGGUGGGGGCACGUCGGCGGGGUGGAAGGAGGCGUGCGAAUCGGAGAAGACACGGGAGGGAGAGAGAGAAAGGGGUGAAUGAGUGGCCGUGGACUGCCCGUGGUCUUUUGGAUAAGGCUUAGAGGAGGGGGAAGUGAGCACCGGGUGCGAGUAAAAAGUGCGCACGCACGAAACAGAUUAAGCGUUCCCCAAUUCUCUAUCUCAUCUUGAAUCCAUGAAACUUCUGGAAAUUUUCUAAAUUCCUUCUCCUCUUCCCCAAAUACAGAGAACCAACACCCCGUUCCUUAUUUCCAAACCAGAUUUUUCCUCCUCUCGGCCCGUCGCCGGCUCUCACCGCCUAGACCCCCGGUGCAAUUCCUGGCAGCAUUUGGGGCCGCCACCGUCGGAAUCGAGGCUGUUGCCUCACCUGUGAUCGUCGCCCCGCCGGACGCCAUGGCCUAGUGCUGCCGGAGGAGGAAGGGAGCGGCUACGAACGAGCAACACCGGCAGUGGCUGGAAGAAAGAGGAGAGUGAGAAGGAAGAGGGGCAAAAAAAAAUCUCUAUCACUUACAUGUGGGUCCCAUAUGGCAGUGUGAUGUACCAUGACUAUAUGCGCCUCUGGCUUCGUUCCUCCGCCGUUCUGUUUGCGUCUCGUACCAUGACUAUGCUCUGACUACCUAGGCGCUGUUGAGGAACUGAGAAAGAUGUGGCCGGAGCAGCUGCGUACCUGCGUUUCUAGGCGAGGCAACGAGACGAGAGCAGUAGAUCGACGCAAAGCAGUCAGUGGCCUUCCUUCAGAAGGAACAGAAUGGUUAGUCGGGUUUGAUCCCAGCCGCUUGAUUAGCUUUAAAGCACGGAAGAACUCCUCUGAAAUUCAUUGAUUCGCUCAGUAUGAUGUUAUAUAUACUGUGGGUGUUGCAAUGUGAAGAGUUAGCGUGGUCAUUGACACUCAGUAAACCCUAGUAAAUUGGCUCACUUAGUAUGAUGUAACGAUGAUAUAUGUAGAUAGUGGUUAACCAUUUGGAUUUUGGAGUUAGCACACAACAACGUAGUGAUCUUCCAAAAGAACAACAACAACGCAGUACUAGCUUUGAGCUGUUUCUGUCGGUAUAAAAAGUCUGAAAAGGAGUUUGUCUGCUGUUACACCUGAAUCGGUGAAUCCACUGCAAGAAACACCUGGGUACAUUAUUCUAUCAGAAGAGGACAAUAAAAAUGAAACUCUAAAGCAACUUUGGGGACGAGUCCCUGAAAUCUUUAGCACUUAAAUUACUUGACUAUGCCAACGAUCCUAUGAAUAAUUGAGCGGCGCAUGCAUGUCAGCAUGUGUUGCAAGCGUGCGUUGGCCAGCAAAAAUAAAGAAAUCUAGUCUACUCUAAAGUAACGAAAAGUUCUUCAGACCAUCAGUGCUGCCAAUGGCCAGCCAGGGUUCAUUCUUUUAAGAAAAAGAAUGCGAGAUCCGGUUUUAUUGCUUUAAUUGGCCAUCACCGGGAUGUUGAGUAUCCGAAAGGGGUAUCGUGGUUUUGAAAUUUUAUUUUAUCAUUUUACCUAUGAACACUCCACUAUGUUCAAUUUGUCAACAGUUAGAUUUCUGUUUACAAAUCUCUUUGUAUUUUCUCUUCUUUUUUUCCCACCUACUAUAUCUAGCAGCCAAUUUGUUUUUGAACCAGCCAACUGUCAGAAUUUUCAAGAUCGUUACACCUUCAUCCAAGGCUUAGAUUUCAUUCUUAUCCAACACAAAUGCAAAUAAUCUUUUUAGCGAGAAGUCCACCCCAAAUAAUCGUUACUUCAUUUCUCUCCCUUGCCUUCCCUUGUCGCUCUCCUCCUCGCUUUUCUGAUUCGGUCGAUUGACACGGUCGAUAUAGUCAGAAAUCCCUAAAAAUGCCUCCUAUUGGCUCUGGUUAGCCCUCCUACCCUAACCCAGUAAAUCAUUUACCCUCCUAUGAAACGCUUUCAUCGUUCAGCCUCGUGAUGCCACCUCUUUUUGGAGGCAAGCCUCAUUGCCAUCCUUCCGCGUAUUGUCUAACGGCCACCAUCGUCAAAUCACGCAAUAUCGCUCAACCUGUCUAUCCCCCCGGCCCCUAACCCUCCCGUGAGCCUCUGCGUCAUUCAGUCUUGCCUUCGCCUGGUGGUUCCACCUUAUUGUGUCGUUUUGAUAAACAAUUUGUUAUUAAUAAACCCCUGGUCUAUAUGCCAAGCAAACGCAAACAAACAAGAGUCACGAGAUUUCAAUGCAAAAUAUUGUUCGGCCUGUAAAGAAAGUUGUUAAUUUUGGUAACAUGCUUAGCACAUCAGACCAAGUCAUCUUAGUCUCGGUUGUCCCAAUUAUUCUCCUUCCAAAACAAGGGGGCGAGAUGAGUCUUAUUUUCACUCGAGCACAAUGCAAGUAAGGCUGGUCAUAAUGGGAGUAGCAUAGAGAUGGUAUCAUAUAAUUCAUAAUACUAUAAGCACGGUUUCAUAGAGCCUUCAUUUAUUGUUUUACAAGACACAUUGUGCUUUGAGAAAAGCUAUGUUAGUGGUAUCAUGUUAUGAUAUCACUACCAUCUAUUUAAUUUAAUGCUAUGACACAUCAUCCCAAUGCUUAUGUGGCAAUGCAUGAUACUAGUUAUGUUACUCCCACUAUGACCAGCCUAAGGUACACACAAAUAUAUCCUAGGAAUAGGAUUGGUGUCUUGGUGAAGAUCAAGCCAAGGCAUGCAGCUCACUUGAAGACAUAUGCAUGUGGUGAAUAUAAACUCUAAUCUCACAUGCAUGACCACCAAUCCACCAUCCGGUCAGAACAUCGUAGAUAUCUUCCAUGCUGUACCGCAUGAUCUAUAUGUCCAUCCAUGCUGUACCGCAGCUCACUUGAAGACAUAUGCAUGUGGUGAAUAUAAACUCUAAUCUCACAUGCAUGACCACCAAUCCACCAUCCGCUCAGAACAUCGUAGAUAUCUUCCAUGCAAUCGGCAUCAUGGCUGCUUGCUGCUGCUACAAACGCUAACUAUGAUUAUGUAGUACGGAGUUGAGUCUUCCUACUAUCUCCUCUGCAUUGAUGGUGAAGCCCUCGUCCAGCUGAAUGUAAAAGUCAGACAAUCGACACAAACAAAUUAAAGCGUGUUAGUUUCGUUUCAAUAGCCAAUCCUAACGAACGUGUUCGGUUAACACUUGAUCACUAUAAGCAUUUUUCUGAGUGGGGGGAAAGAAGAGAUGAUUUCAGUUACUCCUCUUUGUGUUGCAAAGCAUUCGUCCUUAGAUGCGCACGGACCAAACGAAGUGAAGACUAGUUAUAAGAAAAGGUAAAUGGGAUAUGAAAUAAUACAAUUAUUCAACUAUUCACGAAUCAUCUUAAUAGGGUAUAGCAAUAACGAAACUCUUUAAUUGACAGAUAAUCUACUAUCUCCGUUUAAAAAUAGAUGUUUUUAGAGCUUUUUUAUUUAUUUUUCUCAAUGUACACAUAUCCUCAUUGUAUUCCUAUUUGCCCUUUAUCGAUAUAUGCCACCAAGAAAAGAGCAGAAAACAUUAAUGGGUAUCCAACUUCUAGCGCUUGCAUGUGCUUUGGUUUGGGGGGAAAAGGUAACUUAAUGUCUUGGCGAAGAAAAAGAUAUUGGUAAUAUGGACAUUUCAUUUACACACACUAAAUUCUCUGCCAAACUCCCUAAUGCCAAACAGGACUAAAGUACAGUGCUUAGAAGCUUAUGCGAUACGGGGAACAACCUAAAUAAGAGCUGGAACUCAAUAUUUGUGACAUUGAAAAAGAUACAAGGUAUUGAUACAAGACACCGAAAAUGGCACAAGAGCUGGAAAUCAAUACAAAUAAAAACUGAAUAAAUUCACACAUCUGUAUUAUGGGAUGAAUUAAGCGUGCAAAUAUUUCUUAAGAGCACGUUGUAAAAAGAAGAAGUGCGCUGCUCUUCAGAAGCUACUAGUGUCAUUGAUACCUGAGUUUCACGAGGGAUUAUAAUAUCAACUCUCUUAUAUUGAUUAUCAAAAAUAAGAUUGUUUUACUUGUACCAGACUGCGAAACACGGAUACAGCUCUAAUCCGGCGUAUCCGUAUCGGAUACUGCAUGGAUACGGUGAUACGCCCGGAUACUCUUUGGUACGUAUUUUGCUCGUAUCGGAUAAUUUUUCGAUUAAAAGAAAAUAAAUAAUAUCCGAUAUGCGAGGGAUACCUCCCGAUACUUGUGGGAUACAGGAAACUAAACACCAAAAGAAGCCCAUCGGCCAUCGAUCUAUCCUAUCCAUCUCCCUUCUCUGUUCAGAUGGAAUGGCUGAUUGAUUUUUUGACUUCUCUUCUCUGAUUCUUCCUUCUCUGUCCAGGUCAGCCAUGGCAAGAAGAGUGCCAGCUUCAAUACAAUUUUUGGCUGCUUCUCAUAUAAUUUUUUUUCACUUUUUGUAUUUUUAUAUUUUUUUCACUGUAUUUUUAUUAUUUCUCAUAUAUAUAUAUAAACGUAUCGUCAUAUCUGCGUUUUAAAAAAAUUGACGUAUCACGCAUCUGUGCUUCCUAGGUACCAGAUUCUAAUACGACAACCUACAUUUUGACAGCAUGACUGCAUGGUUUCGAUCAUAUGGAAUUAUGGAUCUUGCUUCUGAGUACGUUGUAGAGAAGACCACUUCGGCACGUCCUUCUAGAGAACUAAGAUUUAUUUAUUUUAACGAUGAUACUGUUAGUAUGAUUACUACGAUACUUCUAUGUAAAUUCGCUUUUUGGUGUAUAUAGGCAACCUCUCGAAAGGAAAGAUAAACUUAUACAGUAUAGUUAAACUUAUACAGUCCGUGCACCUAAGAUGAUAUUUAUUGUAGCUAAUCAGUACUAGCUUAAUUUGUACACAUGGUCCGUACAUCUAAACAAACAUCAGCUGGGUCAUCUAAUAUCCUAACGAACAGGCCAUCGCGAUGAUACCUGUAUGCAUGCAUCAUCCAUGACUCUGUACAUCUUCUCGAUGAUGACCAUGUAGAUGAUCAUUUAUGAGACCUAAUUAAAGUUUUAAUUAGCGGGUUAUAGCGUUGUUAUAUAGCGCCACUAUAGCAGUUUGGGCGUAAUCCCGCUACAGCUACUCCCUCUGACCCAUAUUACUUGUCUCAAAUUUGCGCAAAUUUGGAUGUAUUUAUGUUUAAAAAGCGUCUAGAUACAUGUAAUAUUUCGACGAGUAAUUCCGGCCGGAGGGAGUAUAAUUUUUUAGCGCUAAACGGGAAAAACUAUAAUAGCGUCUCUAAGCUGCAUUUAGCGUUAACAUUGGACCUGAUUUAGCGCUAGAUCUUUGUCGCCAUCCCAAAAUAUUCAGCUCGGAAAAUCGUUACGUUCCCUCAAUCACCACAGGAGCUAUGUCCUCCUUUUCCGUUCCCUUUCUCUCCUAAAAAGCAGUUGUUGCCAGCGUUUGAUAUAUGAUGCUGCCAGUUUAGGAUUUUUUUACUUUUUCAUGAUUUUAGCAAAACUGCUAAACGGCUUAGCGCCACUAUAGUCUAUAUAUAGUUGUGCUGUAAGCUUUCUGAGAAGCCGCUGCUAAACGGCUCAGACCGUUAUUUCAGUUUUGAUGCGACCCAAUCGGGUCAUCAACAGACCUCGGACCGUGAAUAUAUCAGCUUGUGUACGGUCUCUGGUGGUAUAGCUAGAUCGAUGCUGAUGAGACGUGCACCCAUGGUUUCACCGAUGAGGAACACACUCUGACACUCAUAAGCUAGUAUGUGUUUGUGGUAUGUGGUGUGGACUGUGGAGGCGUAUCUGUAAUAAUCUGUCGUUUUACAUUGAUCUUGUUUUUUUUGCAUAGUUUUGUAUCUCCUAAAAUACUGUCUAGAACAGUAGAAUGUCAAUUUUGGGAUAUAGUUUUUGUGUAGUACGGAGUAGUACAUCUGAGCGACUUGCCUUUGCCAUGGCGGUUAUGAUCACGGUGGACGCCGAGAAGGGCGUGACAUUACUGUUGACGAUGCGGAGGUGCAGCUCCUCGACCUCGGCGAGCACCCUCACGGCCAGUCCCUUGCCAUUUUCACAGUGAAUCCUCACCACCACGUUGUUCUCCGAGAUUGUCGCUUUGAUCUCCGGCACUUGGUUGCUUGACGGAGUCCCAACCGCAGAGAACAACGGCCGCGGCCGAGAGCCUUGGUAGUCAGGCGCGAUCAGCACCACGGACUCGAUGCUCAUCCUACGGUCGCUGCUGGACGCCUGCAGGGACUUGAUCUUUUCUUCCAGCUCCUUGACGUAUCUCGCUGCGUCGGUAAGGAUCGUCCCCUUGUCCAUCUGCUCGAUCAAAGAUUGACCAAAGAAUUUAAUUCCCCAUGAUGAUGUGUUAUCAUGUUCUUCUCCAUCGGGAGUAGGAGUAGAUGAACAAGUGCAGAGGGGAUUCUGAUUUGUGAAGGGACCUUCUUGAGGCCGGGGAUGACGGUGGAGAGCUCGAUGAACCGCUGGUUCAUCGUCUCCCGGCGCUUCCGCUCCGCCAUGAUGUGGCCCUGCGACGACGACGAGCGGGCGGCCCUCCUUGGCGCCAUCUCCGGCACACCGCGCUCGCAAGCUGCGGCGGCGGCGUUGAAGCUCCAGCUCAUGGCGGGCUGGUUGUUGGCAGGGCCGCCGCGGCCCAUACUGAUGCUUCUGGGCUCGGGCGGCCCGCCCGAGUUCGGGGACGUGGACCAGCCGCCUUGCUGAUCCAUGGCCGCGUCCAAGCCGGCCGCCCAGCUUUCAAUUGCUUCCGUAGGUUCCUGGACCAAGGAGCCCGCGUGCGAAGCAGAGGCAUCGCAGAGCCCAGGGAGAGAAGUGAAGGCGUUCUCGCUGCCGCCGUCAUGGGCGACGGCUUCUGGGUCUUCCUGCUGCAGCGUGUUCACAGCCCACUGCAUGAACAGGCUCGAGUCGUCCAUGCCGUCCGUCCGUCUGGGCAAUCUAUGCUGCUGAUAUGACAUCCUGCGAUAUAUAUCGAGACAGAAAUGGCAAAUUAAGCACGUCACAGCUCUGAAAUUUUUUAUCAGAUGCAUAAUAGUAUCACCUGAACCACAAUUGCAGUAUGUUAAUCGUUUACCUCGCAUAAAUCCUUCUGCAGAUGAUAUGGACAAUCCAUCCAACCCACUAGCCGGUAUAAACUUAUAGCGCAGUAGCAGGUAUCCAUCCCAUCAUUCCCCUCCAGCCUGCUAGUCUGAUGUCGCUGUAAUAUUUGCUCACAUUAGGCCUCUCACGGACCCCCUCUCUUCUGUAAAAGGGCCAAUCAUGGUCAAUUAACAAUGACUUGUUGGAUGCCGGCAAUCUAGCCUAAUCAGCUGAAAGCGAUUUCCUAGAACACAUAAAGCUGCAUGUGGGGCAGAAAUACCAAAAUUCAGGAUGGUAGUGGCCUAGUGGGGGGAACUUUGUCCGUUGCCGGUUUCCAGGGAUUGAGCUCUCCUACGGCAAAUUGCCGUCCUAGCCACCAGCUCCACAUUUUAGGUUUAGGCCAAGUUUAGUUUGGGGAAAUCUUAUAGUAGGAAAAGUGAAGGAAAUAGUAAACCACAAAAGUGUGCUGUAUAUACGAUUAUAAUUCAGGAAUGCAUCAUGUGACGAGAGGAACGGAAAUUCCAAGAAAGAAUUAUCAUCCAUUCUGGUCUCCUUUUUCUUUUUCCAAUCACUGAAGACCGGGGCAGACGAAGCAACAAGAGCACUGACCGUUAUGGUGAAGGAGUGGAGAAGAAGAAAAACAAGAUGCAAAAUCAAAAUUACACAGAAAUAAGCGUGCAUGCAAUCAACUUUGCGUAUUCCUAAAGCAAAUGAGAUUACAAACUGAAAAUGUUGUAAGUAUGUGAUUAAUAAACCGAAAAGGAGGAAGUAUUUUACUGCAUCCCAAACAAGCUCUUGUGAGAUUUUCAUGUAUUCUCUUGUAAGAUUUUCGUGCACUUUCACAUUUCUCUGUUUUGCAGCUUGAUUCGUUCCAUGUUCUUGUUCCUGUGUUAUUCUCCAAGCAUUUGUUCUGAAUUCCUGUGUUAAGAUCUCUAGCCGUAGAUCGGUUGCUCCCGAGUUUCUUGGGCUGGUUUCGUUCCAAUGAAACUGGGAAGUAAUCACUGUUUAAAGAAAAUGUACCCUAACAACCCACGAUAAAUAGCCGAUAUGUAAUCAUCAGAUGGGAGACAAUUUCACUCAGAAACAAAGAGGAACAGCAGUCAAGUUUUUCCCUUUCCUUUUUUUAGAGUUUAUCAGGCCUUGUAUAAAUGGGAAAAGCCCCAAUUCAAAUGGGCCGUUUGAGCCCAGCAGAUAAGCAAUGAUUACUGGACCUUUUUCGUUUUUUAGCUAGAAUGAUGUAUCAAAGUCUUUUAUUUCGUGUACUUUUCGUCACGAGAGCAGUAACUCCAAUGUGGAAGCUCAUAGUUUAGUUAGAAGCACCUCGUCGCUUGAUGUGGGUCGCGGAGUGUGGUUUGGCCAGCCUCCCGGUGGUUUUUGUAUACCUAUUCAGGCUGUGGUCUAUCCUAAAAAAAAAGCUAGAAUGAUACGUUCCGAACACUGCUCUCUGCUUCCGGCCUUGGAUCGUUGCGGGUGCCUCCAAGAUGGGCCUACUCAGCAUCGUCCGAAAGAUCAAGCGCAAGGAGAAAGAGAUGCGCAUUCUCAUCAUGGUGUAGGUUCCCUCCACUCUCCGCUCUCAUUGGAUUCCACCUGCGCCAUUUGUCCCUAUUCGUGUGUUUUUUUUUAGAUUCUUGGUUCUGGAUCUAAUAGUAUUUGUGCUGUUGGUUUCUUGAUCCUUGGGCUGAUUGCCAUGUGAUGAGGCUUGUGGGUUCAUCACAGAUUCAAAAGGGACUGGACAACUCGGACAAGACGACAAUCGUGCUCAAGAUCAAUGGGGAGGGCAAGAGAGUUUUCUGAUUUUGUCCUGAACUAAAUCACUCGUAAAUGGAAGGCGCACUGUGCCCCAGUGUGUAUUUUCCAGUCUGUUAAACUGAAGCCAUAUACAACUAGCAUCAUCUCUUUGCCCACUCUAUCCAAGAAUUUCACCUUUUUCGACUGUAUUCCUGUUAAAUGAUUUCUUAAAUUUGAUCAAACAGACUUGAGGGAACUUCAUUGCUGUUAUCUGCAAAUAAGCGAAGAUAUUCAACGUUCCCUUAAUCCUGCAGAUAUUUCUAAGGUUAGCAAAUUUCAGUGAUGUACAGUACAAUCUACAUGACAAUCUCCUAUGUGCUUUUAUUUGACUUGGUUUACAAACAUCAGGUGUACAUAAUUCAAUCAGCUGUCUUCUGCCACGAUAAUUUAGCAAUACCAGCUUCAAGCCAACCAUGGCAAUUUCAGAGUUAAGCUUCAAGCCUGGAGGCUUCGGAACUAUAAUUGGGUUCUGGUGAUUCCUAAACAUGGUAUUUCUAUUCGCAAAAAGAAAUGGUAUUUCCCAGAUUGUAAAAUAGUUGGGCCGUUGCAACAACGGCGCAGUGCCUUGUUGACAAGUUGGAACAAACUGCUAUUUAACCAGAUGGAGGAAUCAACAACUUGCAAACAGAUAAAAAAGCUAACCAUGUUUGUUUCUAAUCAAAAAGGUAUUCUUGUGUCUCGAAUCAAAAUAUUCGCUGAGUAACAAAGAGAACAGAGUUCACGAAAGACAAGAGGAUAUGCGAACAAAACUUUGCUCAUUCUUUUUUCAUUCAUUCAUAGGGAUAGCGAACGGAACAGAACAGGAACACACGACAGGUAGCAUCACGGACAAACACCUAAUGGUAACCCUUAAACAUCUCAAACCCUACGCGAUGGAGCGAGAUCUAGGAUACUCGGGAGCGAUAACAUCACAGAUAAAAGGUAACAAGGAUAACUGGCCACGAGGGGCCCCACCAUUCACUCCCUCCAGUUGCCGCCGCCGGAGCCUCCACGGCUGCCACCGUAGCCGCCGCCGCCACCACCGUAGCCGCCGCCGCCACCAUAGCCGCCGCCACCUUGACGCUGGCCAUAGCCGCCACCGCCGCCACCACCGUAGCCGCCGCCGCCGCCGCCGUAGCCGCCGCCGCCGCCCUCACGUCGCCCGCCGUAGCCGCCGCCGCCUCCUCCGCCACGACCGCCGCCGCCACCACGGGACUGCGCUUCGUUGACGGUGAUGUUGCGGCCAUCCAGGUCCUUGCCGUUCAUGCCCUCGAUGGCGUCGCGCAUCGACUGCUCGCUGGCGAAGGUGACGAAGCCGAACCCGCGGGAACGGCCAGUCUCCCUGUCGUUGAUGAUCUGUGGACAGAAAAGAGCAUGGUCAGAUUUGUUUGCCAAGCCAAUGGCAAAGCGAAAGACGUAGAACAUCAGAUCUAGAAUUCAAAGACUUUGACCAAGUACGGAGUACAAACUAACAGAUGAUACGCAGAUCUAAGUUAACACAACACGAGAAAUAGGAAAACAACGACAUCUGCAUAACACGGCAGAGAUCUACAACAUAUAUAAUCACCAGAUCUGUACAAAGACGCGCAAAACCAAAAGAGGAUGCAGCAAACGAGAAGGUAACAGAGGAAAGCUCCUAGACAAACCUUGGAGUCGAUGAUCUCGCCGAAGGAGGAGAAGGCAUCCUGGAGACCACGGUCGUCGGUAGCCCAGGCGAGGCCGCCCACGAAGCAACGGUACUCAACUUCCGCCAUUCCUCCCACUAAACCCUAACGAACCGGAACCGGAACCGAGGACUAGUGAGGGGGAGGAGAAGCCAACCCACCUCUAUGAAAGCAC
rnacentral:lncRNA from 1 species